rnacentral:rRNA from 1 species
UACGAGUGGCCCAAGCGUUAAUCGGAAUCACUGGGCUUAAAGGGUGCGUAGGCGGCUCUGCAAGCACUCCGUGAAAUCCCCCGGCUCAACCGGGGAACUGCGGGGUGGACUGCAGGGCUUGAGGCAUGGAGAGGUCGUCGGAACGCUCGGUGGAGCGGUGAAAUGCGUUGAUAUCGAGCGGAACGCCGAAGGUGAAGACAGGCGACUGGUCAUGUCCUGACGCUGAGGCACGAAAGCGUGGGGAGCAAACGGG